GGUGGCUUACAGGUUAUAGCGUCCGCCCCGGAUGCGAGAUGUUGCGGGUUCGAACCCCCGCCAAGUCA